rnacentral:rRNA from 1 species
UAGGGAAUCUUCGGCAAUGGGGGCAACCCUGACCGAGCAACGCCGCGUGAGUGAAGAAGGUUUUCGGAUCGUAAAGCUCUGUUGUAAGUCAAGAACGGGUGUGAGAGUGGAAAGUUCACACUGUGACGGUAGCUUACCAGAAAGGGACGGCUAACUACGUGCCAGCAGCCGCGGUAAUACGUAGGUCCCGAGCGUUGUCCGGAUUUUAUUGGGCGUAAAGCGAGCGCAGGC